ensembl:miRNA mir-4933 ncRNA
CUCGUGAGCUUGCCAGAAUCGGUGGCAGUGACCUAUUCUGGCCAGAUCUAGCCAGGUUGGGUCGCUGCCACCAAUUCUGGCCAGAUCUAGCCAGGUUGGGACGCUGCCAC